UGGGGAAUAUUGCACAAUGGGCGAAAGCCUGAUGCAGCGACGCCGCGUGAGGGAUGACGGCCUUCGGGUUGUAAACCUCCUUCAGUAGGGACGAAGCGCAAGUGACGGUACCUGCAGAAGAAGCACCGGCUAACUACGUGCCAGCAGCCGCGGUAAUACGUAGGGUGCGAGCGUUGUCCGGAAUUACUGGGCGUAAAGAGCUCGUAGGCGGUUUGUCACGUCGUCUGUGAAAUCCUAGGGCUUAACCCUGGACGUGCAGGCGAUACGGGCUGACUUGAGUACUACAGGGGAGACUGGAAUUUCUGGUGUAGCGGUGGAAUGCACAGAAAUCAGGAAGAACACCGAUGGCGAAGGCAGGUCUCUGGGUAGUAACUGACGCUGAGGAGCGAAAGCAUGGGUAGCGAACAGG
rnacentral:rRNA from 1 species